GUAUAUUUGGCAUAUGAAUGCUGAUCAUUGUUCUUUUGGUGCAUAGGUCUCUAGAUCAAGAAAAGCCACACCUCCUGAUACAGACACUGUUAUAUAUACCCCUUGUUGUAGGGACUGCUGUACAUAACCUUUGAGUAUUGCCUUGACUGGACAGGACUUUGAGAUUGUCUCUGUAGCAGAAGAGGUUGCAUAUACUUUACCUGUGGACGGGAGAGUGAGUUUAACAUUUGGUAUCUACAAGAGAGUGUGGCAUUCAAUUGUGCUGCCCACCAAUUAUUUCUGGCUUUUGUGUGGACCCAGGUUGGAAAUGCUCUUCUGCACCAUCUUUGAAGCUAGGUGUGGCAAUGUGACUUGCCUUGAUUAAGAUGAUAUGUCAUUUCUAGGCAGAAGCUUUAAAGUCAGUGUGUGAUUAUUGUGCUCCCUUUGCCCUGUGUUGGCAAUCAUGAAAGCAUGGAGAUGGAACCUUGCUUGGCUUGGGGCCUACAGAACAUCCCAGCUGGCCCAGGAUUGGAAUAUCAGGAUGAAUAAUAAAUACGAAUUUGUUUAAAAAAAAAAAAAAAACAGGAAUUGAACCCAGGGGCACCUAACCACUGAGCCACAUCCCCAGCCCCUUUUUUUUAAUAUUUAUUUUUUAGUUUUAGGUGGAC
rnacentral:lncRNA from 1 species